GACGAACGCUGGCGGCGUGCUUAACACAUGCAAGUCGAACGGAAAGGCCCUGCUUUUGUGGGGUGCUCGAGUGGCGAACGGGUGAGUAACACGUGAGUAACCUGCCCUUGACUUUGGGAUAACUUCAGGAAACUGGGGCUAAUACCGGAUAGGAGCUCCUGCUGCAUGGUGGGGGUUGGAAAGUUUCGGCGGUUGGGGAUGGACUCGCGGCUUAUCAGCUUGUUGGUGGGGUAGUGGCAUACCAAGGCUUUGACGGGUAGCCGGCCUGAGAGGGUGACCGGCCACAAUGGGACUGAGAUACGGACCAGUCUCCUACGGGAGGCAGCAGUGGGGAAUAUGGCACAAUGGGCGGAAGCCUGAUGCAGCAACGCCGCGUGCGGGAUGACGGCCUUCGGGUUGUAAACCGCUUUCGCCUGUGACGAAGCGUGAGUGACGGUAAUGGGUAAAGAAGCACCGGCUAACUACGUG
rnacentral:rRNA from 1 species